UACAGAGGGGGCAAGCGUUGUUCGGAAUUACUGGGCGUAAAGGGCGCGUAGGCGGCCUUCUAAGUCGAACGUGAAAUCCCUGGGCUCAACCCAGGAACUGCGUCCGAUACUGGAAGGCUUGAAUCCGGGAGAGGGAUGCGGAAUUCCAGGUGUAGCGGUGAAAUGCGUAGAUAUCUGGAGGAACACCGGUGGCGAAGGCGGCAUCCUGGACCGGUAUUGACGCUGAGGCGCGGAAGCCAGGGGAGCAAACGGG
rnacentral:rRNA from 1 species